GGGUGUGAUCAUUCCAGCACUAAUGCACCGGAUCGCAUCAGAACCCUACAGUUAAGGGUGCUUGAGCGAGAGAAGUAUUAGGAUGGGUCACUUCCGGGGAAGUCCUCGUGUUGCACCCC
rfam:Gossypium arboreum cultivar AKA8401 contig_30330_1, whole genome shotgun sequence.